rnacentral:rRNA from 1 species
AUACUGAGGGUGCAAGCGUUAAUCGGAAUUACUGGGCGUAAGGCGAGUGUAGGCGGUUUAGUAAGUCGGAUGUGAAAGCCCUGGGCUCAACCUGGGAAUUGCAUUCGAUACUGCUUGACUAGAGUAUGGUAGAGGGAAGUGGAAUUUCCGGUGUAGCGGUGAAAUGCGUAGAUAUCGGAAGGAACACCAGUGGCGAAGGCGACUUCCUGGGCCAAUACUGACGCUGAGGUGCGAAAGCGUGGGGAGCAAACAGGAUUAGAAACCCCGGUAGUCC